GACGAACGCUGGCGGCGUGCUUAACACAUGCAAGUCGAGCGGUAAGGCCCUUUCGGGGGUACACGAGCGGCGAACGGGUGAGUAACACGUGGGUGACCUGCCCUCAGCUCUGGGAUAAGCCUGGGAAACCGGGUCUAAUACCGGAUAUGACUCCAUGACGCAUGUUGUGGGGUGGAAAGCCUUGUGCGGCUGAGGAUGGGCCCGCGGCCUAUCAGCUUGUUGGUGGGGUGAUGGCCUACCAAGGCGACGACGGGUAGCCGCCUGAGAGGGCGACCGGCCACACUGGGACUGAGACACGGCCCAGACUUCUACGGGAGGCAGCAGUAAGGAAUAUUGCGCAAUGGGGCGAAAAGCCUGACGCAGCGACGCCGCGUGGGGAUGAAGGUCUUCGGAUUGUAAACCCCUUUCGGGAGGGAAGAUGGAACGAGCAAUCGUUCGGACCGGUACCUCCAGAAGCA
rnacentral:rRNA from 1 species